UCCUUUGUGUGUGUGUGUACAUAAUAUAUAUCUUGUGCUUCUCGCCACAGGUGCACUUGCAGGCACGUGUGGCUCUUCACUUUUUCUUUCCCCGCUUGUGGUGCGCUUGCAUAUUUACUGCACCCUUUUGCGGUUCUCAUCGCGCACUCACAAGGACGUGCGACGCUACUCUGGACACAAGCCGUUUCUUGACCUCCCUUUCAAGUACGUGUCUCUCGCCCUGCGCCUCACAUCGUUCCUUCAUCUAUUUCCCCAUCUCCUCCGCUGUUGGCGCUCGUUCUUCUUUGCUUGUCCUGCGAGGCCUCUUUCGUCUUGGCGCAGCCCUUAUUCGACGAGUUCCUCAACUCCUGCACGCGCAUAAAACACACGUAAGCGUUCUUUUUUUUCUACGUAUAAAACUGCUCACGGCGAGGGGCACACCCCCUACCUCCCCACACACGCGAACACGCUGUGAUUGACCCCCUCCUCCUCUCCUUGUUUCUUUCUCCAUUACCUUCGCUCUUGCGGCUCCUCGACCGAGAGGUGCUUGACUCUCACUCUCUCCUUCCUCCCUGUGCACGUUUGUGCGCGUUUCUGAGCACGAGUGUCACUUGCCUCACAGCUGCACGCACGCCCACUCACUAUCACGAACUUGGCUGCGCAGGGAAGCAGGAGGGACACAAGCACAAAGAAGAGAUCAAGCGGAAACGCAGGGGACGCGCAUGCACACAAGAGAGAAGCCUGAUCUGCCUUCACAAGUACUACUUCACAUAGGUCGACUCGCCUGCCAUUUGUGGCCAUUUUUCCGUCCCGUCCUUUCACCCCCGCCCACCGGCUUCACAGGCGACGUCUAGCAGAAGCGUAGGUUUUACUAAGCAAGAGGGGUAACACGGAUAAGUUCACACACAUAACAACGGACGCCCCAGCCGCACCACGACCAGCACGAGCAUCACCGACUCCCCUCCCGCGACCCUCUCCCUCCCCUCUUCGAUCUCGCCCUCCCCCAGGGACUGAGAGAAACACACGCGCCGGCUUGCCUCUCUGUCUUGCGCUUGCUCACAGAUACUUCAGCAAGACCCCCGUUAAACAGUUGACCUUCUGUGCCCUAGGAGGCGAAAGAAAGGCAGGCUUUGGCACUCCACUUGUUCGCGCUUGUACUCACGUACCCCCCUUGUCCCCCGCCACAGUGCGUUCUAAGCGACAGAGCACGUCCCUGCCCCCUCUCCUCCUCUUACACGCUUGUCAGCGGUGCUGUGGCCCGGCGCAACUUCAAGCGCACACGCACACACUCAUACACACUUCCUCUCGUGUUUCUUUGUAAUUUUCCUGUCUCUCUCUGUGUGUGUGUGUGGCUUCGUAAGCGCGUGGCGGAGCACCGGUGGGUGCGUGAGGAAGCGAGUCUUCAGACGAGAGCGC
rnacentral:misc_RNA from 1 species